GCCAGUGUAGCUUAACUGGUAAAGCACCGCCCAUGUUGGCGGGUUCGAAUCCCGCCACGGGCA
rnacentral:tRNA from 1 species